UCGGAUAUGGUGUAACGGUCAACAUUACCGCCUCUCAAGGUUUGCCUAGGCCGCGGUAGCUCGGGGUUCGAUUCCCCGUAUCCGAA